UACGAAGGGGGCUAGCGUUGCUCGGAAUUACUGGGCGUAAAGGGCGCGUAGGCGGACAGUUUAGUCAGAGGUGAAAGCCCAGGGCUCAACCUUGGAAUUGCCUUUGAUACUGGCUGUCUUGAGUUCGGGAGAGGCGAGUGGAAUGCCGAGUGUAGAGGUGAAAUUCGUAGAUAUUCGGCGGAACACCAGUGGCGAAGGCGACUCACUGGCCCGAUACUGACGCUGAGGCGCGAAAGCGUGGGGAGCAAACAGG
rnacentral:rRNA from 1 species